ACGAGGCGAACCGGGGGAACUGAAACAUCUAAGUACCCCGAGGAAAAGAAAUCAACCGAGAUUCCCCCAGUAGCGGCGAGCGAACGGGGAGCAGCCCGGAGUCUGAAUCAGCUUGUGUGUUAGUGGAAGCGUCUGGAAAGUCGCAGGGUACAGGGUGAUACUCCCGUACACUAAAACACACAGGCUGUGAACUCGAAGAGUAGGGCGGGACACGUGGUAUCCUGUCUGAAUAUGGGGGGACCAUCCUCCAAGGCUAAAUACUCCUGACUGACCGAUAGUGAACCAGUACCGUGAGGGAAAGGCGAAAAGAACCCCGGCGAGGGGAGUGAAAAAGAACCUGAAACCGUGUACGUACAAGCAGUAGGAGCCCACUAGUUGGGUGACUGCGUACCUUUUGUAUAAUGGGUCAGCGACUUAUAUUCUGUAGCAAGGUUAACCGAAUAGGGGAGCCGCAGGGAAACCGAGUCUUAACUGGGCGUUAAGUUGCAGGGUAUAGACCCGAAACCCGGUGAUCUAGCCAUGGGCAGGUUGAAGGUUGGGUAACACUAACUGGAGGACCGAACCGACUAAUGUUGAAAAAUUAGCGGAUGACUUGUGGCUGGGGGUGAAAGGCCAAUCAAACCGGGAGAUAGCUGGUUCUCCCCGAAAGCUAUUUAGGUAGCGCCUCGUGAACUCAUCUUCGGGGGUAGAGCACUGUUUCGGCUAGGGGGUCAUCCCGACUUACCAACCCGAUGCAAACUACGAAUACCGAAGAAUGUUAUCACGGGAGACACACGGCGGGUGCUAACGUCCGUCGUGAAGAGGGAAACAACCCAGACCGCCAGCUAAGGUCCCAAAGUCAUGGUUAAGUGGGAAACGAUGUGGGAAGGCCCAGACAGCCAGGAUGUUGGCUUAGAAGCAGCCAUCAUUUAAAGAAAGCGUAAUAGCUCACUGGUCGAGUCGGCCUGCGCGGAAGAUGUAACGGGGCUAAACCAUGCACCGAAGCUGCGGCAGCGACACUAUGUGUUGUUGGGUAGGGGAGCGUUCUGUAAGCCGUUGAAGGUGGCCUGUGAGGGUUGCUGGAGGUAUCAGAAGUGCGAAUGCUGACAUAAGUAACGAUAAUGCGGGUGAAAAACCCGCACGCCGGAAGACCAAGGGUUCCUGUCCAACGUUAAUCGGGGCAGGGUGAGUCGACCCCUAAGGCGAGGCCGAAAGGCGUAGUCGAUGGGAAACAGGUUAAUAUUCCUGUACUUGGUGUUACUGCGAAGGGGGGACGGAGAAGGCUAUGUUGGCCGGGCGACGGUUGUCCCGGUUUAAGCAUGUAGGCGGAUGUUCCAGGUAAAUCCGGAGCGUCACUAACGCUGAGGUGUGAUGACGAGGCACUACGGUGCUGAAGUGACAAAUGCCCUGCUUCCAGGAAAAGCCUCUAAGCAUCAGGUAACAUCAAAUCGUACCCCAAACCGACACAGGUGGUCAGGUAGAGAAUACCAAGGCGCUUGAGAGAACUCGGGUGAAGGAACUAGGCAAAAUGGUGCCGUAACUUCGGGAGAAGGCACGCUGAUGGUAGGUGAAGUGACUUGCUCAUGGAGCUGAAAUCAGUCGAAGAUACCAGCUGGCUGCAACUGUUUAUUAAAAACACAGCACUGUGCAAACACGAAAGUGGACGUAUACGGUGUGACGCCUGCCCGGUGCCGGAAGGUUAAUUGAUGGGGUUAUCCUCGCGGAGAAGCUCUUGAUCGAAGCCCCGGUAAACGGCGGCCGUAACUAUAACGGUCCUAAGGUAGCGAAAUUCCUUGUCGGGUAAGUUCCGACCUGCACGAAUGGCGUAAUGAUGGCCAGGCUGUCUCCACCCGAGACUCAGUGAAAUUGAACUCGCUGUGAAGAUGCAGUGUACCCGCGGCAAGACGGAAAGACCCCGUGAACCUUUACUAUAGCUUGACACUGAACACUGGUCCUUGAUGUGUAGGAUAGGUGGGAGGCUUUGAAGUGUGGACGCCAGUCUGCAUGGAGCCGUCCUUGAAAUACCACCCUUUAAUGGCUGGUGUUCUAACGUGGGCCCGUGAUCCGGGUUGCGGACAGUGUCUGGUGGGUAGUUUGACUGGGGCGGUCUCCUCCUAAAGAGUAACGGAGGAGCACGAAGGUCAGCUAAUCCUGGUCGGACAUCAGGAGGUUAGUGCAAUGGCAUAAGCUGGCUUGACUGCGAGCGUGACGGCGCGAGCAGGUGCGAAAGCAGGUCAUAGUGAUCCGGUGGUUCUGAAUGGAAGGGCCAUCGCUCAACGGAUAAAAGGUACUCCGGGGAUAACAGGCUGAUACCGCCCAAGAGUUCAUAUCGACGGCGGUGUUUGGCACCUCGAUGUCGGCUCAUCACAUCCUGGGGCUGAAGUAGGUCCCAAGGGUAUGGCUGUUCGCCAUUUAAAGUGGUACGCGAGCUGGGUUUAGAACGUCGUGAGACAGUUCGGUCCCUAUCUGCCGUGGGCGCUGGAGAAUUGAGGGGGGCUGCUCCUAGUACGAGAGGACCGGAGUGGACGCAUCACUGGUGUUCGGGUUGUCAUGCCAAUGGCAUUGCCCGGUAGCUAAAUGCGGAAGAGAUAAGUGCUGAAAGCAUCUAAGCACGAAACUUGCCCCGAGAUGAGUUCUCCCUGACCCUUUAAGGGUCCUGAAGGAACGUUGAAGACGACGACGUUGAUAGGCCGGGUGUGUAAGCGCAGCGAUGCGUUGAGCUAACCGGUACUAAUGAACCGUGAGGCUUAACC
rnacentral:rRNA from 1 species